AUUGAACGCUGGCGGCAGGCUUAACACAUGCAAGUCGAGCGGGGUGAUGGUGCUUGCACUAUCACUUAGCGGCGGACGGGUGAGUAAUGCUUAGGAAUCUGCCUAUUAGUGGGGGACAACAUCUCGAAAGGGAUGCUAAUACCGCAUACGUCCUACGGGAGAAAGCAGGGGAUCACUUGUGACCUUGCGCUAAUAGAUGAGCCUAAGUCGGAUUAGCUAGUUGGUGGGGUAAAGGCCUACCAAGGCGACGAUCUGUAGCGGGUCUGAGAGGAUGAUCCGCCACACUGGGACUGAGACACGGCCCAGACUCCUACGGGAGGCAGCAGUGGGGAAUAUUGGACAAUGGGGGGAACCCUGAUCCAGCCAUGCCGCGUGUGUGAAGAAGGCCUUAUGGUUGUAAAGCACUUUAAGCGAUGAGGAGGCUCCUUUGGUUAAUACCCAAGAUGAGUGGACGUUACUCGCAGAAUAAGCACCGGCUAACUCUGUGCCAGCCGCCGCGGUAA
rnacentral:rRNA from 1 species